rnacentral:lncRNA from 1 species
GCUCUUCUCCCCACUGUUCGUUGCUCGCAGUCUCAUCCAGUCCCCCGCAAAAAUCUCCGUCACUCUGCACCGCAGCUACCUCCCGGAGUUCCCCUCGCCGCGCAAUGGCCGCCGCGCCGGUGGCGUCCCCCUUCCCCACGCUCCCCUCGCCCUCCUCCCCCCUCGGCACGUCCGCGCGCCGUAUUCACGGCCGCGCGGGCCCGCCGCCAGCAGCAGCCGCCUCGCCGCGCGAGCAGCAGCAGCAGAGCGCCAGGGGCGCGGCGGGCGCGGGGGGGAGGCCGCGGCGGCGGGAGGAUGACCAGGCCGAGGCCGCCNNNNN